rnacentral:rRNA from 1 species
UCCAUGGUAUCAUUCUUUCGCAUGUUAGAAUGAUUAAAAAAUUUCGGUAUGAGAUGGGCAUGCGUCCCAUUAGCUAGUUGGUGAGGUAACGGCUCACCAAGGCGACGAUGGGUAGGGGGCCUGAGAGGGUGGUCCCCCACACUGGUACUGAGACACGGACCAGACUCCUACGGGAGGCAGCAGUGAGGAAUAUUGGUCAAUGGAGGCAACUCUGAACCAGCCAUGCCGCGUGAAGGAUGACGGCCCUAUGGGUUGUAAACUUCUUUUAUAUGGGAAGAAACUUAUCUACGUGUAGAUAACUGACGGUACCAUACGAAUAAGGAUCGGCUAACUCCGUGCCAGCAGCCGCGGUAAUGCGGAGGAUCCAAGCGUUAUCCGGAUUCAUUGGGUUUAAAGGGUCCGUAGGCGGAUUUUUAAGUCAGUGGUGAAAGCCGGCAGCUCAACUGUCGAACUGCCAUUGAUACUGGAAAUCUUGAAUACAAAUGAAGUAGGCGGAAUGAGUCAUGUAGCGGUGAAAUGCAUAGAUAUGACUCAGAACACCGAUUGCGAAGGCAGCUUACUAACAUGUAACUGACGCUGAGGGACGAAAGCGUGGGGAGCGAACAGGAUUAGAUACCCUGGUAGUCCACGCCGUAAACGAUCAUCACUCGCUGUUGGCGAUAUACUGUCAGCGGCCAAGCGAAAGUAUUAAGUGAUGCACCUGGGGAGUACGCCGGCAACGGUGAAACUCAAAGGAAUUGACGGGGGCCCGCACAAGCGGUGGAGCAUGUGGUUUAAUUCGAUGAUACGCGAGGAACCUUACCAGGGCUUAAAUGUAGUAUGACCGGUCUGGAAACAGACCUUCCCUUCGGGGCAGAUUACAAGGUGC